rnacentral:rRNA from 1 species
CAGCAGUGGGGAAUCUUAGACAAUGGGGGCAACCCUGAUCUAGCCAUGCCGCGUGAGUGAUGAAGGCCUUAGGGUUGUAAAGCUCUUUCAGCUGGGAAGAUAAUGACGGUACCAGCAGAAGAAGCCCCGGCUAACUCCGUGCCAGCAGCCGCGGUAAUACGGAGGGGGCUAGCGUUGUUCGGAAUUACUGGGCGUAAAGCGCACGUAGGCGGACUGGAAAGUCAGAGGUGAAAUCCCAGGGCUCAACCUUGGAACUGCCUUUGAAACUAUCAGUCUGGAGUUCGAGAGAGGUGAGUGGAAUUCCGAGUGUAGAGGUGAAAUUCGUAGAUAUUCGGAGGAACACCAGUGGCGAAGGCGGCUCACUGGCUCGAUACUGACGCUGAGGUGCGAAAGCGUGGGGAGCAAACAGGAUUAGA